UACGAAGGGGGCUAGCGUUGUUCGGAAUUACUGGGCGUAAAGGGCGCGUAGGCGGGUGUUUAAGUCAGAGGUCAAAUCCCAGGGCUCAACCCUGGAACUGCCUUUGAUACUGGGCACAUAGAGUUCGGGAGAGGUGUGUGGAACUCCGAGUGUAGAGGUGAAAUUCGUAGAUAGUCGGAAGAACACCAGUGGCGAAGGCGACACACUGGCCCGAUACUGACGCUGAGGCGCGAAAGCGUGGGGAGCAAACAGG
rnacentral:rRNA from 1 species